AGCGGCGGAUGGGUGAGUAACACGUGGGGAACCUGCCCCUAAGUCUGGGAUACCAUUUGGAAACAGGUGCUAAUACCGGAUAAUAAAGCAGAUCGCAUGAUCAGCUUUUGAAAGGCGGCGUAAGCUGUCGCUAAGGGAUGGCCCCGCGGUGCAUUAGCUAGUUGGUAAGGUAACGGCUUACCAAGGCGACGAUGCAUAGCCGAGUUGAGAGACUGAUCGGCCACAUUGGGACUGAGACACGGCCCAAACUCCUACGGGAGGCAGCAGUAGGGAAUCUUCCACAAUGGACGCAAGUCUGAUGGAGCAACGCCGCGUGAGUGAAGAAGGUUUUCGGAUCGUAAAGCUCUGUUGUUGGUGAAGAAGGAUAGAGGUAGUAACUGGCCUUUAUUUGACGGUAAUCAACCAGAAAGUCACGGCUAACUACGUGCCAGCAGCCGCGGUAAUACGUAGGUGGCAAGCGUUGUCCGGAUUUAUUGGGCGUAAAGCGAGCGCAGGCGGAAAAAUAAGUCUAAUGUGAAAGCCCUCGGCUUAACCGAGGAACUGCAUCGGAAACUGUUUUUCUUGAGUGCAGAAGAGGAGAGUGGAACUCCAUGUGUAGCGGUGGGAAUGCGUAGAUAUAUGGAAGAACACCAGUGGCGAACGCGGCUCUCUGGUCUGCAACUGACGCUGAAGGCUCGAAAGCAUGGGUAGCGAACA
rnacentral:rRNA from 1 species